UUUGAAACUCGCGGCAUAGGUUUCCUUGAAUUCAAGGAAGGGAAGAUGGUGUGAAUCCAUCACGGUCCCGCCGCUGUAACCGGAUACCUAAUCACACGCGAUAUCUUUAAUCGCGGUGAUUGGUACUGGCGCAACAAGCGCCAGUACGAAAUCCGCAUCCUGUUUUUAGGACGGGAAAAGCCACUGUUUAACGGUCCGCAAGGACCUUGGGCGGGAAGGCGCGGAGAGUAGAGAAGCCCUAAUGAUUUUGUUUCACCAACCAUUAGGGCUAUCCUCAACAUAAAUAGGCCGUUUUCAACGGCUAUGGCAGUUGAGGAUACGCCGGAAGUCAGAAGACCAGCCUAUGCCUUAACCUGAUA
rnacentral:ncRNA from 2 species